UACGGAGGGUGCAAGCGUUAUCCGGAUUCACUGGGUUUAAAGGGUGCGUAGGAGGGCAGGUAAGUCAGUGGUGAAAUCUUCGAGCUUAACUCGGAAACUGCCGUUGAUACUAUCUGUCUUGAAUACCGUGGAGGUGAGCGGAAUAUGUCAUGUAGCGGUGAAAUGCUUAGAUAUGACAUAGAACACCAAUUGCGAAGGCAGCUCACUGCGCAGUUAUUGACGCUGAGGCACGAAAGCGUGGGGAUCAAACAGGAUUAGAAACCCCAGUAGUCC
rnacentral:rRNA from 1 species